GCAUUCGUGGUGUAAUGGUCAGCACACUCGGCGCGUAUUCGAGAGAUCCGUGGUUCGAGUCCCGGCAAGGGCA
rnacentral:tRNA from 1 species